UACAGAGGUCUCAAGCGUUGUUCGGAUUCAUUGGGCGUAAAGGGUGCGUAGGCGGCGCGGUAAGUCGGGUGUGAAAUCUUGGGACUUAACUCCGAAACUGCAUUCGAUACUGCCGUGCUUGAGGACUGGAGAGGAGACUGGAAUUUACGGUGUAGCGGUGAAAUGCGUAGAUAUCCGGAGGAACACCGGUGGCGAAGGCGGCUUCCUGGACCGACACUGACGCUGAGGCGCGAAAGCUAGGGGAGCAAACGGG
rnacentral:rRNA from 1 species